AAUAGUUUUUUAAUUAAAAACUGGAAUGAAUGAUUGAACAAAAAAUAAUCUGUCUUUUUUAUAAGAGUUGAAUUUUACUUUUAAGUGAAAAGGCUUAAAUAAUUUAAAGGGACGAUAAGACCCUUUAAAACUUUACAGAAAAAGAUUAUUUAUUUAAGUAAUGUUGAAUUUAAAUAGAUUUUUUUGUUUCAUUGGGGUGAUGGAGAUAAAUAAGUAAACUGUCUUGAAUUUAAAAUAAUUAUAAUUAGAAAUUAGUGUGAUCCUAGGUUAAGAUUAUAAGAAAAAGUUACUUAAGGGAUAACAGCGUAAUUUUUUCUGAGAGUUCUUAUUGAUGAAAUAAAUUGCGACCUCGAUGUUGAAUUAAGAUUCUUGUUAAAAUGCAGUAGUUUUAAUUAUAAGUCUGUUCGACUUUUAAAAUCUUA
rnacentral:rRNA from 1 species